rnacentral:rRNA from 1 species
AUUGAACGCUGGCGGCAGGCCUAACACAUGCAAGUCGAACGAGUGGCGGACGGGUGAGUAAUGUAUGGGAAACUGCCUGGUGGAGGGGGAUCACUACUGGAAACGGUAGCUAAUACCGCAUACCAUCAGAUGUGCCCAGAUGGGCUUAGCUUGUUGGUGGGGUAACGGCUCACCAAGGCGACGAUCCCUAGCUGGUCUGAGAGGAUGACCAGCCACCCUGGAACUUGGACACGGUCCAGACUCCUACGAGAGGCAGCAGUGGGUAAUAUUGGACAAUGGGCGCAAGCCUGAUGCAGCCAUGCCGCGUGUAUGAAGAAGGUCUUCGGGUUGUAAAGUACUUUCAGCGGGGAGGCGUUACCCGCAGAAAAAGCACCGGCUAACUCCGUGCCAGCAGCCGCGGUAAUUC